UACAGAGGUCUCAACCGUUGUUCGGAUUCAUUGGGCGUAAAGGGUGCGUAGGCGGGUUUUUAAGUCAGGGGUCAAAUCCUGGAGCUCAACUCCAGAACUGCCUUUGAUACUGAAGAUCUUGAGUCCGGGAGAGGUGAGUGGAACUGCGAGUGUAGAGGUGAAAUUCGUAGAUAUUCGCAAGAACACCAGUGGCGAAGGCGGCUCACUGGCCCGGUACUGACGCUGAGGCACGAAAGCGUGGGGAGCAAACAGG
rnacentral:rRNA from 1 species